rnacentral:lncRNA from 1 species
UCAGCAGCAGCACCAUCAAUAACAACCUGAGCCUAUUUUUUAAAACAUAUCUAUGCAAUCUUGCCUAUUUUUCAGAACAUAUCUUUGCAAUCUUGAUACGCUUCCUCGACAGGUAGUUCAUCUUCGCAUCCAUCCACACCCAGCUCUUCCGGUGCUAGUCCACACUAAAGAGCUUCAGAUCAUCCUCAACCUUCAUCACAUGGCCAACCGUCUCCAGCUGAAGCUGCACUCGUUUGAAGGAUAAAGGGGUACACUAUUGGCAUUCUCUCAUUUCAGUACUGCUUGCAUCUUUCUUCUAUAUAUAUACAAAUAUCCCG